GAUGAACGCUGGCGGCGUGCUUAACACAUGCAGGUCGAACGGUGAACACGGAGCUUGCUCUGUGGGAUCAGUGGCGAACGGGUGAGUAACACGUGAGCAACCUGCCCCUGACUCUGGGAUAAGCGCUGGAAACGGCGUCUAAUACUGGAUAUGUGACGUGACCGCAUGGUCUGCGUUUGGAAAGAUUUUUCGGUUGGGGAUGGGCUCGCGGCCUAUCAGCUUGUUGGUGAGGUAAUGGCUCACCAAGGCGUCGACGGGUAGCCGGCCUGAGAGGGUGACCGGCCACACUGGGACUGAGACACGGCCCAGACUCCUACGGGAGGCAGCAGUGGGGAAUAUUGCACAAUGGGCGCAAGCCUGAUGCAGCAACGCCGCGUGAGGGAUGACGGCCUUCGGGUUGUAAACCUCUUUUAGCAGGGAAGAAGCGAAAGUGACGGUACCUGCAGAAAAAGCGCCGGCUAACUACGUG
rnacentral:rRNA from 1 species